GAUGAACGCUGACAGAAUGCUUAACACAUGCAAGUCUACUUGAUUCUACUUCGGUAGUUGAUGGUGGCGGACGGGUGAGUAACGCGUAAAGAAUCUGCCCUUUAGUUUGGGAUGACCUUUGGAAACGAAGGCUAAUACCGGAUAUUAUGGAGACGUCGCAUGGCGACUCCAUGCAAGCUAUAUGCGCUAGAGGAGGACUUUGCGUCCCAUUAGUUAGUUGGUGAGGUAAUGGCUCACCAAGACCGCGAUGGGUAGCCGGCCUGAGAGGGUGAUUGGCCACAAGGGAACUGAGACACGGUCCUUACUCCUACGGGAGGCAGCAGUGGGGAAUAUUGGACAAUGGGCCACAAGCCUGAUCCAGCAAUUCUGUGUGCACGAUGAAGGUCUUCGGAUUGUAAAGUGCUUUCAGUAGGGAAGAAAAAAAUGACGGUACCUACAGAAGAAGCGACGGCUAAAUAUGUGCCAGCCGCCGCAGUAAAAC
rnacentral:rRNA from 1 species